rnacentral:rRNA from 1 species
GACGAACGCUGGCGGCGUGCUUAACACAUGCAAGUCGAACGGAAAGGCCCUGCUUUUGUGGGGUGCUCGAGUGGCGAACGGGUGAGUAACACGUGAGUAACCUGCCCUUGACUUUGGGAUAACUUCAGGAAACUGGGGCUAAUACCGGAUAGGAGCUCCUGCUGCAUGGUGGGGGUUGGAAAGUUUCGGCGGUUGGGGAUGGACUCGCGGCUUAUCAGCUUGUUGGUGGGGUAGUGGCUUACCAAGGCUUUGACGGGUAGCCGGCCUGAGAGGGUGACCGGCCACAUUGGGACUGAGAUACGACCCAGCCUCCUACGGGAGGCAGCAGUGGGGAAUGUAGCACAAUGGGAGGAAGCCUGAUGCAGCAACGCCGCGUGCGGGAUGACGGCCUUCGGGUUGUAAACCACUUUCGCCUGUGACGAAGCGUGAGUGACGGUAAUGGGUAAAGAAGCACCGGCUAACUACGUG